AUUUAUGUAGUUUAAAUAAAACCUUAUAUUUUCAUUAUAAAAAUAAAAAAUUCUUUUUCAUAAAUA
rnacentral:tRNA from 1 species